CCAAUAGCGUAUAUUAAAGUUGUUGCAGUUAAAAAGCUCGUAGUUGAAUUUCGGGGUUAGUAAGUUGGUCAUGCCUUUGGUAUGCACUGGCUUUACUGAUUCCUCCUUCUUGACGAACCGUGAUGUCAUUAAUUUGGUGUUGCUGGAAAUCAGGACUGUUACUUUGAAAAAAUUAGAGUGUUUAAAGCAGGCUAACGCUUGAAUACAUUAGCAUGGAAUAAUGAAAUAGGACGUUAAUCCUAUUUUGUUGGUUUCUAGGAUCGACGUAAUGAUUAAUAGGGAUAGUUGGGGGCAUUAGUAUUCAAUUGUCAGAGGUGAAAUUCUUGGAUUUAUUGAAGACUAACUACUGCGAAAGCAUUUGCCAAGGAUGUUUUCAUUAAUCAAGAACGAAAGUUAGGGGAUCGAAGACGAUCAGAUACCGUCGUAGUCUUAACCAUAAACUAUGCCGACUAGGGAUCGGAUGAUGUUAAUUCUUUAAUGACUCAUUCGGCGCCUUACG
rnacentral:rRNA from 1 species